AUAACAAGGACUAUACCCAUCAAAGGGUUAUUUUGAGUUUUGUUCAACCUGAAUACAAUCUUAAGGACUGUUCCCUUAGUUCUUUACUUUAUGGUUCUGUUACUGAGGCGUUCGACUUGGAUUAUCCCAUGAAAAACCCUCAUCAAUCUGUUUGGAUUGUGGGUUCUAUCAAUGGGAUGAUUUGUCUUGCCAUUGAGGAAAAUGCCUUGUUUUUAUGGAAUCCAUCUAUUAGGAAGUUCAAGAAAUUGCCUGACUCUAGACCUACAUUAAAGUGUGGUUACUAUUUCAUGUAUGGUUUUGGAUACGAUGAGCUUCGUGAUGAUUAUAAGGUAGUGGGUAUUUUCUGUACAUUCGGUUCCUAUCCCAUGAAAAGCCCUCAUCAAUCUGUUUGGAUUGUCGGUUCUAUCAAUGGGAUGAUUUGUCUUGCCAUUGAGGAAAAUGCCUUGUUUUUAUGGAAUCCAUCUAUUAGGAAGUUCAAGA
rnacentral:lncRNA from 1 species